rnacentral:rRNA from 1 species
CUUAGUCACUCUCUGAAUCAGCAGCACUUACAGUAGGUCAUGGUUCAUUCAAAUUUCUGCCCUAUCAAGUUUCUGAUGGUAGGAUAGAGGCCUACCAUGCUUUUUACGGGUAACGGCGAAUUAGGGUUCGAUUCCGGAGAGGGAGCCUGAGAAACGGCUACCACAUCUAAGGAAGGCAGCAGGCGCGCAAAUUACCCAAUCCUGAUUCAGGGAGGUAGUGACAAUAAAUAACAAUCCAGGACUUCGGUCCUUGGAAUUGGAAUGAGAACAAUUUAAAUCUCUUAUCGAGGAACAAUUGGAGGGCAAGUCUGGUGCCAGCAGCCGCGGUAAUUCC